GGGGAAUAUUGCACAAUGGGGGAAACCCUGAUGCAGCGACGCCGCGUGAAGGAAGAAGUAUCUCGGUAUGUAAACUUCUAUCAGCAGGGAAGAUAAUGACGGUACCUGACUAAGAAGCCCCGGCUAACUACGUGCCAGCAGCCGCGGUAAUACGUAGGGGGCAAGCGUUAUCCGGAUUUACUGGGUGUAAAGGGAGCGUAGGCGGCGGAGCAAGUCAGAAGUGAAAGCCCGGGGCUCAACCCCGGGACGGCUUUUGAAACUGCCCUGCUUGAUUUCAGGAGAGGUAAGCGGAAUUCCUAGUGUAGCGGUGAAAUGCGUAGAUAUUAGGAGGAACACCAGUGGCGAAGGCGGCUUACUGGACUGACAAUGACGCUGAGGCUCGAAAGCGUGGGGAGCAAAC
rnacentral:rRNA from 1 species